rnacentral:rRNA from 1 species
UGAGGAAUAUUGGUCAAUGGGCGGGAGCCUGAACCAGCCAAGCCGCGUGAGGGAAGAAGGCCCUAUGGGUCGUAAACCUCUUUUGUCAGGGAACAAAAGCGAGUAUGUAUACUAGUCUGAGUGUACCUGAAGAAAAAGCAUCGGCUAACUCCGUGCCAGCAGCCGCGGUAAUACGGAGGAUGCGAGCGUUAUCCGGAUUUAUUGGGUUUAAAGGGUGCGUAGGCGGCGAUGCAAGUCAGCGGUAAAAGCCCGGGGCUCAACCCCGGCGAGCCGCUGAAACUGCAGUGCUAGAGAAGGCGAGAGGUACGCGGAAUGCGCAGUGUAGCGGUGAAAUGCUUAGAUAUUGCGCAGAACUCCGAUUGCGAAGGCAGCGUACUGGCGCCUGACUGACGCUGAGGCACGAAAGCGUGGGGAUCGAACAGGAUUAGAUACCC